UACUUAAGUCCAGUAACGCAGUAUUUGUACUCCUCUACUUCCCACCUCUGGUCCUGAUCCAGCGUCUCUCAUCCUGUGUUCUCGUCCCUCAGGUUUUGGUGGUGGCCGAGGCGUACGGCUACAGUCCGGACUGGCCUCACAUUUUGUUCCAGAAGGUGAUCCUGAGCGGAGACUUUGUUUACCUGGAGGACUUCAAACGCCUCCGCCCCCUCACCUCCGCCCUGUUCGAGGACAUCUUCAAAAAGCUGGACGGGGCUCCCUGCAGUGUCUCUAAUGCUCGCCGCCUGCUCUCUCACUGUGAGCACGUGUUCAGCCGCUACAGACUGGCCUACCAACAGAACCUUCUGGACGUCAGCAAGGCUCUGCUGCAGGACACACACUCCUCUGGAUACAUGAGGGACCGGCUGGCCAGCUGAUCCAAACCCCACCAGAACCACCGGCUGGAAUACAGAGAGCUGCAGGGAUGUGGUGUUCCUGUGCUGGUCCCUGAAGGCAGCAUCUCCCUGCUCCAAUGGGAUUCCUCCGUGGGAGUUUUGGAUUAUUGCAGAAAAUAAUCUCUGUGUCAAACAAACUCACACGUUUAGUUCAGCAGUGAGGAAUCUACUCACCACACAGCUUAGUUCAGACUAACAACCAAAAACACAUUCAGAAGACCAUUGACUUCCAGACCAGGGGACAGGAAGUGGUAACAUGCUGACUCAUUUCAGGGUUUAGGACUCAUUCCUGCACCACUGAUGAUUCUCUCUUUGAAACGGAUGAUUCAAAAUCUUCACAGAAAUGAUGAAAUGACACUUUAAAAAUGUACAUUAAAUACUCUUUCUAACGUG